GAAAUGCGAUAAGUAGUGUGAAUUGCAGAAUUCAGUGAAUCAUCGAAUCUUUGAACGCACAUUGCGCCCCUUGGUAUUCCAUGGGGCAUGUCUGUUCGAGCGUCAUUUGUACCCUCAAGCUCUGCUUGGUGUUGGGUGUUUGUCCCGUCUCCGCGCGUGGACUCGCCCCAAAGUGAUUGGCAGCCGGCGUACUGGUCCCGGAGCGCAGCACAUGUCGCGCAAACGAGUGCCUUGGUACGGCGGCGUCCAUAAGCCCCUCUCUCACGCUCUUGACCUCGGAUCAGGUAGGGAUACCCGCUGAACUUAAGC
rnacentral:misc_RNA from 1 species